rnacentral:lncRNA from 1 species
CUCAGAAAUCAGGGACAAUUCAAAGAGCCUAGAGGCAAGGAAAAGGCCCUGAAUGUUGUACGAAUCCCGACACAGGAGCAGUAAAUCAGCUCCCAAGGAGCAGCCAGGAAGCGUGCAGCCCUCCUCGAAAGUCUGCAGCAGCCGGAUGCGGGAGAAGAAGAGCUUUGAGCUGUAACUGGAAGUACCAGAGGUCUGAAGUGAAGAAGGUGAAGAGAGGCGGGGUUGGUGUGCUGGCCUUUCCCCAUUAAGGAGAAUUACAGGUACUAUUCUACCAGUUUAGUAAAUAGCCACUAUCUGUCCCCAGCUGAUUUUGGUAGACAGGUGCUGCACAGGACUGGAUGCUGAGCACAGCUUCAAUUUCCCAUAGCAGAUGUGGCUGCAGGACAGCACGUGGGCUAAAGAUAGUAUGUGGUCCUCUGCUUUGUCAUCCUCUGUCACGUUAAUGCAUGUUACAUUGGAUGGCCAGGAUAGCUGGCUGAGCUAGGAGUCAUCUCUCUGCUUCAAAAUACCGCAACUUAAACGUGUUUAUUCUUCACUAAUUCAUUUAGGUGGAAGCUGGAAUUUGAGAAGGUUAAAAGUGAAAAGGCCCGAUUGCUGUAAAGCACAGAUUUAACUUGUGGUUUUCUAUUUCUUCUUUACACUUUCCUUAUUGGCCUGAGGCAUGAUAACAGAGCUGUCAUUAUCUUCAGGCUGACUGUAACAAUCUCCUGAACUAUUCACUCUUAGGAAGCCAGUGCCUCUCUCAAAUGCAGCAUUGCUGUGGCCAACAUAUC